UACGUAGGGGGCAAGCGUUGUCCGGAUUUAUUGGGCGUAAAGAGCGUGUAGGCGGCCAUGCAGGUCCGUUGUGAAAACUCGAGGCUCAACCUCGAGACGCCGAUGGAAACCGCAUGGCUAGAGUCCGGAAGAGGAGAGUGGAAUUCCUGGUGUAGCGGUGAAAUGCGCAGAUAUCAGGAAGAACGCCCGUGCUAAGGCGGCUCUCUAGUACGGUACUGACGCUGAGACGCGAAAGCGUGGGGAGCGAACAGG
rnacentral:rRNA from 1 species